AUGAAAACCUGGCUUCUAUGCUGGAUGAUGUUUAGUCUCCUGGAUGCAGGACACACAGAACCCGGGGUCAUCCAGACCCCCACCUAUCAGGUCAUAGAGAAGGGGCAGGAAGUGAUCUUGAGAUGUGACCCCAUUUCUGGUCACUUAUACUUCUAUUGGUACCAACAGAUUUGGGGACAGAAAGUGGAGUUUCUGGUUUCUUUCUAUAAUGACAAUAUCUCAGAGAAGUCUAAAAUAUUCAAGGAUCGAUUCUCACUUGAAAGGCCAAGGGGAUCAUAUUUGGCUCUGAAGAUACAGUCCACAGAGCCGGAAGACUCAGCCACAUACCUCUGUGCCAGCAGCCCAACCACAGCCUUGCAAAGACACCUCCAGCCUGUGCACAAACCCUCAUAG